ACGGGUGAGUAACACGUGGGAACGUACCCUUAUCUUCGGAAUAGCUCCGGGAAACUGGAAUUAAUACCGAAUGCGCCCUUUGGGGGAAAGAUUUAUCGGAUAAGGAUCGGCCCGCGUUGGAUUAGCUAGUUGGUGGGGUAAAGGCCUACCAAGGCGACGAUCCAUAGCUGGUCUGAGAGGAUGAUCAGCCACAUUGGGACUGAGACACGGCCCAAACUCCUACGGGAGGCAGCAGUGGGGAAUAUCGGACAAUGGGCGCAAGCCUGAUCCAGCCAUGCCGCGUGAGUGAUGAAGGCCUUAGGGUUGUAAAGCUCUUUCACCGGAGAAGAUAAUGACGGUAUCCGGAGAAGAAGCCCCGGCUAACUUCGUGCCAGCAGCCGCGGUAAUACGAAGGGGGCUAGCGUUGUUCGGAAUUACUGGGCGUAAAGCGCACGUAGGCGGACAUUUAAGUCAGAGGUGAAAUCCCGGAGCUCAACUUCGGAACUGCCUUUGAUACUGGGUGUCUUGAGUAUGGAAGAGGUUAGUGGAAUUGCGAGUGUAGAGGUGAAAUUCGUAGA
rnacentral:rRNA from 1 species